AUGCUUCGACAGUCAAAGCCUUGCUCCUGUCCUGCCAUGGAUAUUCGGAACUGCUUCAGCUUGUGCAGCAGGACUAUUCAAUUGGGGCGGAGCCUGGAUGAUAUGGGAUCCACCAAAUUAGCUUCCUCAGCCACUGAAUCCUGCAAGCUAAGGUGGAAAGUGUUAUGGAGAAAGUUUAAGAAAGAAAAGGAGAAGAUGUUUCAGCCUUGGGGCUCUGUGAAGGUUACCUACGAUUCGUACUCUUAUUCUCAGAAUUUUGAUCAAGGGUCACUCUGGGAUGAACCUGAUUACCACUCUCG
rnacentral:lncRNA from 1 species